GAGAUGUGGGUUAGUCCGUACGAGCGCAACCUUGUCCUUAGUUGCCAGCACAUAAUGGUGGGAACUCUAAGGAGACUGCCGGUGACAAACCGGAGGAAGGUGGGGACGACGUCAAGUCAUCAUGGCCCUUACGACCUGGGCUACACACGUGCUACAAUGGAACGCACAGAGGGCUGCAAAGGCGCGAGCUGGAGCGAAUCCCACAAAACGUUUCGUAGUCCGGAUUGGAGUCUGCAACUCGACUCCAUGAAGUCGGAAUCGCUAGUAAUCGUGAAUCAGAAUGUCACGGUGAAUACGUUCCCGGGCCUUGUACACACCGCCCGUCACACCAUGGGAGUGGGUUGCAAAAGAAGUGGGUAGACUAACCUUCGGGAGGUCGCUCACCACUUUGUGAUUCAUGACUGGGGUGAAGUCGUAACAAGGUAGCCCUAGGGGAACCUGGGGCUGGAUCACCUCCUU
rnacentral:rRNA from 1 species